rnacentral:snRNA from 2 species
GAUGUGAGGGCGAUCUGGCUGCGACAUCUGUCACCCCAUUGAUCGCCAGGGUUGAUUCGGCUGAUCUGGCUGGCUAGGCGGGUGUCCCCUUCCUCCCUCACCGCUCCAUGUGCGUCCCUCCCGAAGCUGCGCGCUCGGUCGAAGAGGACGACCAUCCCCGAUAGAGGAGGACCGGUCUUCGGUCAAGGGUAUACGAGUAGCUGCGCUCCCCUGCUAGAACCUCCAAACAAGCUCUCAAGGUCCAUUUGUAGGAGAACGUAGGGUAGUCAAGCUUCCAAGACUCCAGACACAUCCAAAUGAGGCGCUGCAUGUGGCAGUCUGCCUUUCU